rnacentral:rRNA from 1 species
AUUGAACGCUGGCGGCAGGCCUAACACAUGCAAGUCGAGCGGAUGAAGGGAUCUUGCUCCUGGAUUCAGCGGCGGACGGGUGAGUAAUGCCUAGGAAUCUGCCUGGUAGUGGGGGAUAACGUCCGGAAACGGGCGCUAAUACCGCAUACGUCCUGAGGGAGAAAGUGGGGGAUCUUCGGACCUCACGCUAUCAGAUGAGCCUAGGUCGGAUUAGCUAGUUGGUGGGGUAAAGGCCUACCAAGGCGACGAUCCGUAACUGGUCUGAGAGGAUGAUCAGUCACACUGGAACUGAGACACGGUCCAGAAUCCUACGGGAGGCAGCAGUGGGGAAUAUUGGACAAUGGGAGAAAGCAUGAACAAGACAUGCAGCGUGUGUGAAGAAGGUCUUCGGAUUGUAAAGCACUUUAAGUUGGGAGGAAGGGCAGUAAGUUAAUACCUUGCUGUUUUGACGUGACCAACAGAAUAAGAACCGGCUAACUUCGUG